AGUGAACGCUGGCGGUAGGCCUAACACAUGCAAGUCGAACGGCAGCACAGUAAGAGCUUGCUCUUACGGGUGGCGAGUGGCGGACGGGUGAGGAAUACAUCGGAAUCUACUUUUUCGUGGGGGAUAACGUAGGGAAACUUACGCUAAUACCGCAUACGACCUACGGGUGACAGCAGGGGAUCUUCGGAACUUGCGCGACUGAAUGAGCCGAUGUCGGAUUAGCUAGUUGGCGGGGUAAAGGCCCACCAAGGCGACGAUCCGUAGCUGGUCUGAGAGGAUGAACAGCCAAACUGGAACUGAGACACGGUCCAGACUCCUACGGGAGGCAGCAGGGGGGAAUAUUGGACAAUGGGCGCAAGCCUGAUCCAGCCAUACCGCGUGGGUGAAGAAGGCCUUCGGGUUGUAAAGCCCUUUUGUUGGGAAAGAAAAGCAGCAGGUUAAUACCCCGCUGUUCUGACGGUACCCAAAGAAUAAGCACCGGCUAACUUCGUG
rnacentral:rRNA from 1 species